UGGCGCAGUGGUAGCGCGUCCGCUUUGCAAGCUGAAGGCCCCGGGCUUAAUCCCCGG
rnacentral:tRNA from 1 species